rnacentral:rRNA from 2 species
UGGCUCAGGACGAACGCUGGCGGCGUGCCUAAUACAUGCAAGUCGAACGAACUCUGGUAUUGAUUGGUGCUUGCAUCAUGAUUUACAUUUGAGUGAGUGGCGAACUGGUGAGUAACACGUGGGAAACCUGCCCAGAAGCGGGGGAUAACACCUGGAAACAGAUGCUAAUACCGCAUAACAACUUGGACCGCAUGGUCCGAGUUUGAAAGAUGGCUUCGGCUAUCACUUUUGGAUGGUCCCGCGGCGUAUUAGCUAGAUGGUGAGGUAACGGCUCACCAUGGCAAUGAUACGUAGCCGACCUGAGAGGGUAAUCGGCCACAUUGGGACUGAGACACGGCCCAAACUCCUACGGGAGGCAGCAGUAGGGAAUCUUCCACAAUGGACGAAAGUCUGAUGGAGCAACGCCGCGUGAGUGAAGAAGGGUUUCGGCUCGUAAAACUCUGUUGUUAAAGAAGAACAUAUCUGAGAGUAACUGUUCAGGUAUUGACGGUAUUUAACCAGAAAGCCACGGCUAACUACGUGCCAGCAGCCGCGGUAAUACGUAGGUGGCAAGCGUUGUCCGGAUUUAUUGGGCGUAAAGCGAGCGCAGGCGGUUUUUUAAGUCUGAUGUGAAAGCCUUCGGCUCAACCGAAGAAGUGCAUCGGAAACUGGGAAACUUGAGUGCAGAAGAGGACAGUGGAACUCCAUGUGUAGCGGUGAAAUGCGUAGAUAUAUGGAAGAACACCAGUGGCGAAGGCGGCUGUCUGGUCUGUAACUGACGCUGAGGCUCGAAAGUAUGGGUAGCAAACAGGAUUAGAUACCCUGGUAGUCCAUACCGUAAACGAUGAAUGCUAAGUGUUGGAGGGUUUCCGCCCUUCAGUGCUGCAGCUAACGCAUUAAGCAUUCCGCCUGGGGAGUACGGCCGCAAGGCUGAAACUCAAAGGAAUUGACGGGGGCCCGCACAAGCGGUGGAGCAUGUGGUUUAAUUCGAAGCUACGCGAAGAACCUUACCAGGUCUUGACAUACUAUGCAAAUCUAAGAGAUUAGACGUUCCCUUCGGGGACAUGGAUACAGGUGGUGCAUGGUUGUCGUCAGCUCGUGUCGUGAGAUGUUGGGUUAAGUCCCGCAACGAGCGCAACCCUUAUUAUCAGUUGCCAGCAUUAAGUUGGGCACUCUGGUGAGACUGCCGGUGACAAACCGGAGGAAGGUGGGGAUGACGUCAAAUCAUCAUGCCCCUUAUGACCUGGGCUACACACGUGCUACAAUGGAUGGUACAACGAGUUGCGAACUCGCGAGAGUAAGCUAAUCUCUUAAAGCCAUUCUCAGUUCGGAUUGUAGGCUGCAACUCGCCUACAUGAAGUCGGAAUCGCUAGUAAUCGCGGAUCAGCAUGCCGCGGUGAAUACGUUCCCGGGCCUUGUACACACCGCCCGUCACACCAUGAGAGUUUGUAACACCCAAAGU